rnacentral:rRNA from 1 species
CAGCAGUGGGGAAUCUUCCGCAAUGGGCGAAAGCCUGACGGAGCAAUGCCGCGUGAGUGAUGAAGGAAUUCGUUCCGUAAAGCUCUUUUGUUUAUGACGAAUGUGCAGACUGUGAAUAAUGGUUUGUAAUGACGGUAGUAAACGAAUAAGCCACGGCUAACUACGUGCCAGCAGCCGCGGUAAUACGUAGGUGGCGAGCGUUGUCCGGAAUUAUUGGGCGUAAAGAGCAUGUAGGCGGUUUUUUAAGUCCGGAGUGAAAAUGCGGGGCUCAACCCCGUAUGGCUCUGGAUACUGGAAGACUUGAGUGCAGGAGAGGAAAGGGGAAUUCCCAGUGUAGCGGUGAAAUGCGUAGAUAUUGGGAGGAACACCAGUGGCGAAGGCGCCUUUCUGGACUGUGUCUGACGCUGAGAUGCGAAAGCCAGGGUAGCGAACGGGAUUAGA